UAUGUAAAGGUGGCAGCCAGUGGGACCAAUAAUUCUAUGUUCUCAGCCAGUUUGGAGAGGCGUAGUGAUCGAAGAGUAGUGACAGUCCAAAUGAGAAGCAGGUAGUGAGUAGUGACACAUGCUAAACUCAUGCUCAACACUGUAUGCGUUAGAACAGCUCACAUAUAUGUAUGCGUCGUCUGGCAAAUUAUUCAGAGUAAUCAUGCAUGUACGACAAGAAGCACACGAUUAGAGGCUUAGAGCUCUGCAUGCAUGCUCGAGGAUAUCUAAGCAGGCCUUAAACGUGCCGGAAAUCCAAAGACGGUUUCCGGAGUAGGCUAGCUGUACGUUGCUUGCUGUUCUUAUGGAGGCGCCUACGACGUUUCUGUCAUUGGCUGCUGUCACUUGUCUAAAUUUCGGCUGCUAGCUAGAGCUCCUGUUACAUACUGUAGCUCAUUGUUAAAUAAUGUAGCUCGAUGUUCACGAGAAGGCUGUGUGAACUGGCAGUGCCAAUGGUUUAGCCUUUUAGAAUCAGAUAAUAAGAAGGUGACCUGAAUGCCAAGUCCAAGGAGAGGCACCAAUCAGUAACCCCAACAGGCCAGCCAUCAUUAUUGCGCGGCGUCCAAAUUAAAUGAGCACACACGCUCGUAGUCGUAGCUUGCUUAUUAUCUGGAAAAGAAAACAUCGUCGUUCAAACGAGCACUCUAAAUCACCACCUCGCAUGUUUCAUAGGUUUUGUAGAUAGUUUUAAUUGUAAGUAAUUUAUUCGUUUCUUACAGGAAGAAAUACUGUGAUAUCCUGUUUCAAACGAGCACUCUAAGCCACCUCCGCGCCUUAUAUGUGAUAGAUAAAAAUAUAUUGCAACUUUUUUUGCAAUACAAUUGGGUUAUUAACUUAUUAUUCAGAAAGUAAAAAAUUU
rnacentral:lncRNA from 7 species